CUCAGGAUAAAAGGGAGUCACAGACAUAGAACAAUUGGGAGUCUCAUGGGGAGAGGACGCUUUGCCUCAGACCGGACAAUUGGCACUCCCACCUGCCGUACAAACUAUUGGGACUUCCCUGGCUGAUUGUGGUGUGGAUGUUGCUACACAACGUUCCUGAGAGUAUUUAUUCUGAGACAAAAAUGCCAGUCACAUCUUUAAGACCUUACUUAACAAGGAACUAACGAGAAAACAAGUUGGAAGCUUUUAGGUAAAGUCCAGCGCUUCAUUUAUACCAAGUGUGUGAGAAGAGGUCAGUAGAGAUUAUCUAAUCCUGAAUCAAUCGUGACAUCAUCCAUUCAAGUCCAAGACACAUUCUCUCACCUGCUGCAUUGGUUUUAAUGCAAAAAAAAAAACCCCAACCUAAAAAGGGCAAAUGGGAGAUAACAAACCUAAAUGUCCGUUGCUAUGGAAAUGGAUAAAUAAAUGUGGA
rnacentral:lncRNA from 1 species